AGAGUUUGAUCAUGGCUCAGGAUCAACGCUGGCGGCGUGCCUAAUGCAUGCAAGUUGAACGGUGCCUUCGGGCACAGUGGCGAACGGGUGAGGAACACGUGGACGACCGACCCUGGAGUGGGGAAUAACUGCCGGAAACGGUAGCUAAUACCGCAUAUGGUUGCUGAGGUGACGGCCUUGGUAACGAAAGCCUUCGGGCGCUGCAGGACGGGUCUGCGGCCGAUUAGCUAGUUGGUGGGGUAACGGCCUACCAAGGCGACGAUCGGUAGCCGGUCUGAGAGGACGGCCGGCCACACGGGGACUGGGACACGGCCCCGACUCCUACGGGAGGCAGCAGCAAGGAAUAUUGGGCAAUGGCCGAAAGGCUGACCCAGCGACGCCGCGUGGGGGAUGAAGGCCCUCGGGUCGUAAACCCCUUUUCUCAGGGACGAAGAUGACGGUACCUGAGGAAGAAGCCCCGGCUAACUACGUGCCAGCAGCCGCGGUAAUACGUAGGGGGCGAGCGUUGUCCGGAAUUACUGGGCGUAAAGCGCACGUAGGUGGUCCGUCAAGUUCGGCGUGAAAUCUCCAGGCUCAACUUGGAGGGGUCGUCGAAGACUGGCGGACUAGGGUCUGGCAGAGGCAGGUAGAAUUCCCGGUGGAGCGGUGAAAUGCGUAGAGAUCGGGAGGAAUACCAGUGGCGAAGGCGGCCUGCUGGGCCACGACCGACACUGAGGUGCGAAAGCGUGGGGAGCGAACCGGAUUAGAUACCCCCGUAGUCC
rnacentral:rRNA from 1 species